UACAGGCUGGUCAGCCUCACCUCAGUCCCUGAAAAAAUCAUAGAGCAGGUCCUCAAGGAAUCCAUUUUGAAGCACUUGGAGGAGAGGAAGGUGAUUAGGAACAGUCAGCAUGGAUUCACCAAGGAUAAGUCAUGCCUGGCCAACCUCAUUGCCUUCUAUGGUACACAAGACAGCAGCCACA